rnacentral:rRNA from 1 species
GAUGAACGCUGGCGGCGUGCCUAAUACAUGCAAGUCGAGCGAAUGGAUUAAGAGCUUGCUCUUAUGAAGCUAGCGGCGGACGGGUGAGUAACACGUGGGUAACCUGCCCAUAAGACUGGGAUAACUCCGGGAAACCGGGGCUAAUACCGGAUAACAUUUUGAACCGCAUGGUUCGAAAUUGAAAGGCGGCUUCGGCUGUCACUUAUGGAUGGACCCGCGUCGCAUUAGCUAGUUGGUGAGGUAACGGCUCACCAAGGCAACGAUGCGUAGCCGACCUGAGAGGGUGAUCGGCCACACUGGGACUGAGACACGGCCCAGACUCCUACGGGAGGCAGCAGUAGGGAAUCUUCCGCAAUGGACGAAAGUCUGACGGAGCAACGCCGCGUGAGUGAUGAAGGCUUUCGGGUCGCAAAACUCUGUUGUUAGGGAAGAACAAGUGCUAGUUGAAUAAGCUGGCACCUUGACGGUACCUAACCAGAAAGCCACGGCUAACUACGUGCCAGCCGCCGCCGUAA